rnacentral:lncRNA from 1 species
AUAAGAGGGGCUGUUUAAGCUUUUACUUUUCUUACUCUCGCCCUCUUAUACUCUUUCUUAGUCUCUAAGCUUUUACCUCUCUCUCUUUAAGCUUUCUUACUCUCUAGCCUUUCUUCUCUCUCCUUUUCCCCCUUUACUCCUCUUGGCCAUGGCCGGUCUCUCUCUCUCUCUCUCUCUCUCUCUCUCUCUCUCUCUCUCUCUCUCUCUUCUACCUUUUCUCUUUCCCCCUGCCUUUCUACAAUAAAGCUCUAAAACCAUAGACUGACUCUCACCUUCAUGGGAACCUCUCUCUCUGCCCUCUUCCCAAGAGUGUCGCCCUGGGGCCCCUAUUCUGAUCUCAGCUCCUCUGCCAUAUCCAGCGUGGGAUGCCGGAGACUUGAGAACCUGGUACAGGGAAACUGCUCUUGUCUACCCCUCUGCCGUGUGGGGUCAGUGGCUUCACACAGGCCAAAUGCCCACUCGGGGCUUCGUGGAAAGCAUCCGGCAGUCCUCCUGUGUCUGCCUGCCCAGAGCUCAGGAACUCUGGCCGGAUGCUGGCUCUCUCCCUCCCCCCUCUUCCCCUACAUCCUAUGGCAGAAGUUUAAAACCAGCACAGCAUGUCUCCUCUGACCCUGCCUGGGUACAUGAUGCAGAUAAGCCUGGCAUAGCUGCUCCAGGUAACAAGGCUACACCAUGGACAUGAAAAGCUACUUGUAACAGCACAGCCCUCAUCUUGCUACUUGAAGCCAUCCUCAUCUUUCCCACAGAGAAGAGCACAUGUAAGUGGCUGAAGGAGAGAUUGUUACAAGGAGUAACUUUGAAACUUUAUCAUUUGCCAAAACAGGAAGCUAUCCACAACCAGUGUUCUAUGCUAGCAGUAGCAAUCUUCUUAGAAUCUGCUUUCCAGCGAAUGGGGACCUUUUUUCUGCAGUCUGACUUUGUAAUAGUUGGUGUUAAGGGUAUGUAUGCUAUAGUGGAUUGGGAAGGGUAGUGGGAUGCUAGUUCAUUGUGGAGUCUGAGGGUCACAGGAAGUCAGGGAGAGAUGUCUUAAAUGUGAAGAACAUAGCUUUAGGGCUAACCAUGCCACAAAGACCACCUGGCUGACUAUUUAUUGAGUUGCAGCCAAUCUAAAUUAUACUGACUGUCAAGUAUAAUUUAAGCUGUAACUAGCAGACCAACUCUUCCUAUCCCACCAGCUCCAAAGAAGCCAUGACAAGCUAAGGUAGGUAGGAAUUCAGACUCAAGUGCAUUAGUAAAAAAUCUAUUUAUACU